rnacentral:rRNA from 1 species
CGAACGCUGGCGGCAUGCCUAACACAUGCAAGUCGAACGAGCACCUUCGGGUCUAGUGGCGCACGGGUGCGUAACGCGUGGGAAUCUGCCCUUGGGUUCGGAAUAACAGUUAGAAAUGACUGCUAAUACCGGAUGACGUCUUCGGACCAAAGAUUUAUCGCCCAGGGAUGAGCCCGCGUAGGAUUAGCUAGUUGGUGAGGUAAAGGCUCACCAAGGCGACGAUCCUUAGCUGGUCUGAGAGGAUGAUCAGCCACACUGGGACUGAGACACGGCCCAGACUCCUACGGGAGGCAGCAGUGGGGAAUAUUGGACAAUGGGCGAAAGCCUGAUCCAGCAAUGCCGCGUGAGUGAUGAAGGCCUUAGGGUUGUAAAGCUCUUUUGCCAGGGAUGAUAAUGACAGUACCUGGAGAAUAAGCUCCGGCUAACUCCGUGCCAGCAGCCGCGGUAAUACGGAGGGAGCUAGCGUUGUUCGGAAUUACUGGGCGUAAAGCGCGCGUAGGCGGCUUUGUAAGUUAGAGGUGAAAGCCCGGGGCUCAACCCCGGAACUGCCUUUAAAACUGCAUCGCUUGAAUCCGGGAGAGGUGAGUGGAAUCCCGAGUGUAGAGGUGAAAUUCGUAGAUAUUCGGAAGAACACCAGUGGCGAAGGCGGCUCACUGGACCGGUAUUGACGCUGA